AUUGCUGGGAGGUAGAGAAAAGAAGACAUGGGGUCCGGUUGCAGAAAGUAGAUUUAUAAAAGACAACUAAAAAAGGAAUUUGUUUCAAAUGCAACAAGGAAAGAAAUAUGUAUUAUCCUAACACCUUUGAUACGUUGUCAAUAAAGAGAAGAAUGUUAUUCAAGACACUCCCCUCCAGCUGCAAGCCCUAGCAACUGAAAGCACUUCCCUGAUCCAAAAGACCUCCUCUCUGCAAACCAUUCAGAACACUCUGUGCCAGCCAUAAAUGGGAAGGUGAAGCCAUGCGUCCGGUAAGUGUUCCUUUAGCUAUUUCUACUGAAUACGAGAAGGGUGUGAUUGGUAGAAACUGUGCUGAGGUUGGUCCAAAGACAAUGCCUCAUUUGCAUAUCAUAUCCAUACCACAGUCCCUCCUAGAUAGGUAUUCAACAAGUGUGGCUCACUUCUCAAGCCAGCCAAGGCACACCCUGCCUGGGAUGCCCUUUAUCUUAGGUACAACAUUAGGCCCCAGGAAGACUGGUCUUUAGUGGUCUUUUUUUACUGCCUACUUUUGGUCCAUUUAAGUAUGUGUGGUGUAUUUGUAUGCAUGUGUGUGUAUGUGUGUACUGUGUGUGUGUGUGUAUGCGCGCACAUGCACACACACACACACAGUACACACACACACACACACACACACACACACACAUGCACACACACACAUGCACACACACACAUAUGAAUGAAGGCCAGAGGUUGAUGUCUGGUGUAUUUCUUUUGCUCACUCUCUACUUCAUCGAACAAGACCAUCUCUCAUUGAACCUGGAGCUUGCUGACUUAGCUCAUCUUGGUAAUCAGAUGGCUCUGGAAGGCCCCUUGUCCCCGUGUCUCCAAGAAGAAAUUUCGAGGACCCUAGGAGAGCUGAAUUCCAGACCUCAUUUGAGCAGCAAAAGGUACAUAAGCAGCAGAGCCAUCUCUCCAGUCCCUUACCUAUGAUUUUCAUUGUAAAUAUUGCAUGCUGAGGGACAGUGGCCAUGUGGCUAUGGUGAUGAGGGGACAGCUGAAAGGCUCCAGAGAACAGGUAGGGACAGAAGUAUCAGGAGGUAGACACAAUAGAGAUAACAUAGGACCAGGGAAAUAGAAGUUUAAGCCAAGUCUGAAGGAAGUGGGCAGCGUUGGACAAGAGGUUGAAGGCUCAGUUUACAGAGAGAGUUUCUGUGAGCUGCCAUGCCUUGAAGGAGUCCUAACACCCAAGGCUAAGGAGCUCCGUCACAUGCUUAGAGACAACCAUUUUGAUAGCUCUUAUGUGCUAGGCUGCUGACAGUCAGAACCCAGGGUGAUAAAUCUCUAACUUGGCACCUCCUUCUUCAGUUUGUAGCUGUGAGUGUCUGAAUCUGACAGCCUCAUCCACCCAUCCCAAGCCCAGCUUAAGUCUCUUUGACACUCAAGAGCCCUGGACUAUAGUUAUUAAACGAUAUACUUAUCCCCUGCUCCUAAUUUACAUUAUUAUAGGGCAAGGGAGGUCAAGCCUUCUCUUUGGGAGCAGUAUUUUAUUUUGUCAUAGCAUCUCCAUUGGCAAAGACCCUUUGCAAAUAAAUGACCUGAAGAACUUCUGGUAAUUGGUCUAUGCUAGGAAGUGACAACUGUCUAUGUUGCCUUCAACACCUGCACCCACAGAAUUAGGUUGUGAAACCCCCAACUUUCCUUUUUUCUGGAACUGGUAUUCACCAUGAUGCCUGUCUUAGUCAAGGUUUCUAUUCCUGAACAAAAAAACAUCAUGAUCAAGAAGCAAGUUGGCAAUGAAAAGGUUCAUUCAAAUUAAAUUUCCACAUUGCUGCUCAUCACCAAAGGAAGUCAGGACUGGGACACAAGGAGGUCAAGAAGCAGGAGCUCAUGCAGAGGACAUGGAGGGAUGUUUCUUACUGGCUUUCUUCCCUGGCUUGCUCAGCUUGCUUUCUUAUAGAACCCAGGACUACCAGCCUAGACUACAAUGGGCCCUCCAACUCUCGAUCACUAAUUGAGAAAAUGCCUUACAGGUGGAUCUCAUGGAGGUAUUUCCUCAAGGGAGGCUCCUUUCUCUGUGGUAACUCCAACUUGUGUCAAAUUGACACACAAAACCAGCCAGUACAAUGUCUUACCCAGUAAAUGUAUGGUGGCCCCAAGCCCCAAGUCCUUUUGCUCAUACUGCUAGGUAUGGUAAGCAGUCAGCCUGUGGUUUUCAAGUUUGUAUUGAGAAUAUGAAGGGAAUGUGUUAAAAGAGCUUGAUCCAUGAACUAUAAUAAGUCAUUUCCUUAUAGCUGCGAAACUGAGCAACCCUCCUUCCGGUCAGGUAGUGUCUCACAAGUGGGCUCCAGUAAAUAUUAGACUGCAACAUGACAUCCUGUAAAAGUGCUCCCAGGUUUGGUCCAUACAGCUUUCUUAACUCUGUCCUUGCUUCAAGGAUCAAAUACAGUGUUUCUCAGUAGCAGUGUUCAUUAUGAAGUCCUGUCCCACAUACAAUGUAACAAAGUUACAACAGGUUCAUCAUAGUUAGCUUCAGCUGUUAGCUUGACACAAACAUAAACACAAGAUACCUGGGAACAGGGAACCUUAAGUGACAAACUGCCCAGAUCAGAUUGGCCUGUGUGUAUGUAUUUGGGGCUUUCUUUUAGUUGGAUUGAAGGGGAAUGGUCCAGUCCGCUCUGGGUAGCUGGUCCUGGGAUAUUUAAGACAGCAGACUGAGCAAGUCAUGUUUGAGCAAGCUAGUAAGUCGCACUUCUUUGUGGCCUCAGCAUCAGCUCCUAACAGGAGCUGGAGUUUGAGCUUCUGCCCUGGCUUCCCUUCAUGUUGAACUGAGGGAUUCAACAUCAGGGGCCGGUGUUCUCCACAACUCUGCUUAUAAAAGGAAAGCAAUUGUUUUUGUGAAUGUACCUGAAAGUUUUCUGGCAUUUGUCUGGAGGCUAAUUAAUGGUCUGUCCAGGGCAACACAUCACUGUUCAAUGUUCUGUUUAUGUUACAAUAGUAGCCAGUAAUCAGAAAAUAAAAUAUUUCUUCCUGAUAUAAGAGAAAAUAAGAAGCACAAGAGACCCAAGAAUGUUAAUUAGAAUUUUGUAUACAAAGACUCACUUCAGGAGCUCUUGGGGAGAGAAAGGAAGAGGUAUUCAUAUUAAUAUAAAUAAAUAAUCCAGCAAAAAGGGGCUUCUCUUAUUUAUUAUCUCUACUGUGAUGCUGUGGAUUUACGAGCUGUAAUUAAUUAUAAGCCAUGACAAAUCGCCAAGGGAAAGCCAAUGGUAGUGGCCCUGGUGGUUGACAAGCUACCGUGGUUUGAGCAGCCUGUCACCUCCAGGCUGGCUAAUUUAUUAGGCAUCCAGUCUUACCCAAUCGAUCCUCCAAAGAUAAAUGACUAUAAAUACAGAAUGACUUCAGGGAAAUAUAGCCCAGUGAUGUGGAGAGCCACUAAUAAUCACAAAUAGUGUGGAUUUUGCAAGUUUGAGGUUCCACAUGCCUGUCUCUUCCACUGAACUAUAGCACAGAUGGGAUAAACCUGAGCCUGGCUGUCCCCCUAAAGUCAAACACAAAAAUUAUAUACCACGAUGACUUAAAAUAAUUCUUUUAAUUGAAUAAUGCAAGAAUUGCAUUCUAAUAAAGCACGGGAGAGUGAUGUCUCUAAACCUUUUGCAGAGAAAGAAAAAGUCUAUACAAUUGUUUGUCCUAGGAAUUUCUACAAUGAGGGGGAAAUCAGGCAGUCAUGUUUUGGAGAUAAAGGACCACAGUUUCCAGAGGGUUCACGUUCACAGUGGACUCUGGGGAACCUCUUAGGAAGUCUCUAAUUCACCUCUUCCCCCUCCAAUUUUGAAGCAGAGAACAAAAGUCUACCUGAAAAGGUGUUAUCCCCAUCUUAAAGCUCAGAGUGGCUUUUGACAAAGUCUCUCAUUUGUCAUCAUUUUUACCAAGGGGUGAUAAGGGAAGUGUUUGGUUUGCCCACCCUCCUGAGUCUACCCAGACUCCAGGGAGUUCCCUCAAUUAAUCCCCAAACUACACAUUCAUUUGUUUCCUGUGAGGUUUUGGGUUCAAGGAACCCAUUCCAAAUCCUACUCCCCAGAGUCUGGUUAUUUAUACUGAGACUGUUUAUAUAACAGCUAAAAUGUCGAAUAAACUUUGUUGACAGACCCUGCCACAUUCAAAAAAGAAUCGGCUUCAAUCCUGUUGCCAGUUGACUCGCUGGAGAGCAACAGUGUAGAUAGUGUAGUCUCGAUACUAUUUGGAUCAUAGGGCGAAGCACCGUAAAGUUUUCCGCUUGGGGUGUCAUUAGUUACAUUUUAACUUCAAUUCAGCCUAGGGCCUCAGACAUUCCCUGUGUGCAUUUCAUCAUAGUUUCGGAUAUUUACACAAUUGGAUUGGUCUUCUCAAUUGAGCACCACAGAUUUUGCAUUCUUAACUCAGUCUCCUACAAGAGGCAGUUCAGUUCCGGGUGAUGGGUAAAGGAGGAGAAUCCACAGCAUGAAUGUCUGCGCGCGCCUUUCCCCCACUUUGCUUGUUCUGUGGUCCUGAGUCACGUGCUCUGGACCUCUGGGCCUCUUGACCUUCCUUUGCCAAGUAUAGUAAUAACAGUGCCAGCCGGUUUGAGGGAAAGCUCUGUAAACUGAUAUUCAGAGAGCGCACCUGUCUUCAUGGGAAUUGCUCUGAAGUCCAGCUAUUACUAGGCUAUUAUCCUCUUCAUUAAAUUACUGUCAGUGGGUCUGUAGUGGGUUGGCCUAAUGCCGCUUGUAUUUUAAUGCUAACUGGGGCCCACAAACUGGCUGCCCCAGAGACAGAAAGUUCGCACAUGGAUGCUAGCUAAGUGACCUGGCCCCCAGUUAAUUAUGAUUGGCUAAAAAGAUGCCAACAGCCAAUAGCUGGGCAGAAGAGGUGGGAUUUAGGUUUUCUGGGGGUGGGAUCAGAGGAGAUUGAGGAGGAGAAGAACAUGCAAGAGGGAGAAAUGAAGUCAGUCGCCAUGGGUUAGGAGUCAAGAAAGCAUGACCCCAAGGGCUGACCAGUUGGAGUUAAGAGCAGCCCCGAUGCAACAUAGUAAAUAAUGAGUAGUAACUUGGGAUUAUCGAUAGGAAAGUAGAUUCGAACAGCAUGGAGGGUAAGCAGCUGCCCAGAUAUUGUGCUGUUUAGGGCUUAUUGUAAAUAUUAAGGCUGUUGAGUGUCUUUCGUCCAGGACCUCAAUAACCAAAGGUGGGCCAGAAGCCCUGGGCCAGAAUUUUUAAAUAUUUUUAAAUAUUAAAAUGUUUCUACAACAGAGUCCAGCAAGAUAGCUCAGCUUGUAAAGUUGCUUGUCAUCAAACUUUACAACCUGAGUUUGGCUCCUGGGACCCCCGCCUGGUGGAAGGAGAGAGCUGAGUCCUAAGAGUUGUCAUCUGAUGUCUGUGUGACAUAACUUGUUCCUUACAUGGUGUCAGUGAUUCCCUGUUGGCCCAUCCUCAUGUUGAUUUUUGCAGUGGAAUUCAGGGAGAAGUACAGAGUGUGUUCAUUUGCUAUUGUUAUGGUAACAGAUCUCCAUAAAGGUUAAGGGUUAAGGUAGCUUAAGCCAAACAUGGAUUUGUAACUCUUGAAACAUGGAUUUCAAGGCUCUGAAGGUCAGAGGUCCUGAGGGCAGGGUGAAGGCUGAGAUAUUGCCUUCUAGGAGCUUAAUGGCAGAACUUACUCCCUUGACUCUUCCAGACUGAGACAAGGAAGUGGUUCCUUGCACAACUAGAGAAGUGGUCCGACCUCUGAUUUUGCACUUCUAGUCACCCCUGACAUCCUCCUGGCUCUCUCUCAUCCUAAGCUAAUGAUUGUUAUGGUCCCACACUGUCACUCCAGGGGGUCUCCUCUUCAAAAUGCCCUUGGGUUAAGGACAUCUAUGAAGCCCAAUCCUCCAUGCAGAACGAUGUCAUCACAUGUUUUGAAGUUAGGUUUUGGAUAUCUUUAGGGCAUAUACCAUUCCAGGCCCUUUUCUCUCAAACCUACCCCCUCCUUCCAACUUCAAGUGAGCAACAGUGACUUCUCCCAAUACAUCUUUAAUUAUAGAAAACAGCUCCAAUUCUGAUAAAUCCCCCAAGUCAUGGCAGCCUUGAUUGGCAUUUUUUUUAAAACUUGCCUAUUAAGCAAAUGCACAUUUAAAAAAAGGGGGGGGGGAAUUAAACAGAUGUCUCUCAUUAGCAAAAUAAGGGAUUUUAUUUUUCUUCAACUUUUUUCCUCCCUCAGUGCUCAUCCAUAAAUGAGAUAAAAAUGCAGGCUUGAGCUAAAUAAUGAGUGCUUUAAGUUUCCAGGCAUGGUUAAGUGUGGAGUUGAGAUAAAGGACACAGCACUGUGACUAGACUCAAGGAGAGAACACAGCUGUCAUUCUUUCUUCUUUUUCUUUUUCUUUUUCUUUUUCGGAGCCGGGGACCGAACCCAGGGCCUUGUGCUCGCUAGGCAAGCGCUCUACCGCUGAGCUAAAUCCCCAACCCCCACAGCUGUCAUUCUUCACUUGUUCUGGGAUCCUGUGACCUUCCAGCACCUUGUGCUAAUGACAGGACUUUCCCAAGGAAGACAAGAGUGAUCUGACGAGGCACAGAUGUGGCCUUGAUUUCAUCUCCUCGUGGUAUCUACACCUGACUUUCCAGUCUUGGGAAAACAUGCAGUGACCCCUCUUGUCUUGCUGGUUGAAGACUCUCUAGGUCUUUACAGAGAGUUUGGUAAUGUGAUGGGAAGUGGUGAGAGGCAUGCUGGGGAAUUUUCUUGGGCUCAUCCUUUUAUUUGCAUUCGAGAUACAUUCUGAAACAAAUAUGAGUUUUCCCAUUCCUGGGUCCCCAGAGGUCAUCCCCAUGAAUUCUUCAGUCAUCUCCCUCCCACUGCCCAGCUACGACCACAUCCUCAGUCACUCCCAGAAAAACAUCCUCUUUGUGUUUUUCAGCAGAUGUCACGGACGUAACUUUCUCUAGGAAACUCAAAUCAUAAACUGACUACUCAGAAAUCUCUCCCUAAUCCAAGCUUAUACAGGCUUUUGCCUGUAGUGACCACAAUAACACAGGAUCUAACAGGAAAAUAGACUGCUUCAGAGUGUGGUGGGAUGUGGGUGGCAUUUUAACCAAUAGCAUGGUGGCCAGCUGGCGAUGGAGUCCCUGUGAAGGAGGCUGGAUGUCGCUGGGCAAUACUCAAUGGUGCAAAAUAAAGCUCUUCCUCUGGUGGAGGAUUGAUUCUGAGGGGUGCCACCAAACCUCCCCACUUUCUCUCAGCUUUGAGGGAUAAAUUGUCCCUGAGUGGGUGAUAUUACUGGUAUUGUGAGGAGUCCUUCACCAAAGAGACAGAGGCAGCAUCCAUACCUCCUCCUUAGGGCCCAACUGAAGCUCAAAGUAGAGUUCAACCAAAAUGCACCACAGAGAACCAGUGAGUUUACUGGGUUUGCUUAGGGAGCCUGGGUAACAAGGUAUGGACAGAGCAUGGUGUUCCCCAAGGCAACUGCACGGUGAAGUCUUUUCCCAGCAUGGAUAUCCAUAGCCACAUAGAGUCCCCAGUUAACCUUCCCUAGCCUGUAUGCUCAAGAACCCAAAGUUAUAUGCCCUUAUGGCAGAAGCACAUGCACGCAGGUGGGAGGAGAGCUGAAACCUCAAGUGAGGGUCCAGUGACCCUUCCCAUCCUCCCUUCUGUAAGGGGACAGAAACAGUUCAGAGGUCACAUCAUCCUGACAUCUUGCAAGCUGUUCCAGCAGAUCUGACGAAGAUGGUGGCUGUUUGGCUUAGAGAACCUCGUUCCACAACUGUUUAAGAGGACAGCUGCACACUUGCUCUGUGUCAAAGCCAGAGUACAGAGCAUGAGAGGAGGCAGGUGAGGAUACCCACUCUCCCAGGACUUGUGUGGCAGUCAGACAGGACAGUAACAGAAAUGUUGCUGGGUAGAGAAAUGAGAAAAAGGAGCAGUGGGUGAAGGGGUGAGGCUUGAAUAGAAACAGUUGGGAAUUCACCACCUGAGACUGUGAAUCCAUCCAUGGGCACAGGUUCAUUUGACAACCAGACAAGUUGUAUAAAAACAGCUUAGGUGCCCUUCAUCCACACCAGGGACCAUCUUCAGUUUCUCUUGUGGUUCUUCACUUUAUAGAUGAAGACAGCAAAGGACAGAUGCUUAGUACCUUGCUUGAGAUCCUGGAAUAAUCAAUCAUCAGAUGCCAAUGUCACAGCACACCCCAAAGCCAGGGUUUCUCUGUCUUCUACAUCACGCACAGACACUCCAUUCACAGUGUAGGGGUAGAAGGGGCCCAGGGCUUCAUCUAUAUUAGUCACCUUGCCUGGUUCUGCAACUGUGUAGCAGGCUCAAGAGUCUUGCUGGGGACCCAUCUAGCAUCGCCCUCUGCUUCUUUGAUAAUAUAUUAGGGUUAUAUAUAAUUUAAUAGCAACACUGCCUCUCCAUGUGCUUGUGAAGUUAAAAUGGGCUACUGAAUUCUAGACUCUACGGCGUGUAGAAAGAAACCCUUGUGAUUCUUGUUAAUACCAGCACUGUGAUUAAUGUUUAUUAAACUGAAAGUAUGAUGUAAGAAAAUUAUGGACACAACCUCAUGAAAGUGGUGAGAGACAUUGAUGUUCUACUGUGCCCAUUGGCUUCCUAUAUUCUCUGCAUACACACAUCUCUUGGCAGUAAAGGAAUGAACAGAUGACACUGCAUCCCAACUGGCAAAUAAGGACAAUGGAUGUGUAGAGUGUGAGAGAUAGAGGGGAGCCUGUGCCUGGGGAGCAGAAGCAAUUGGCCCUUUGUUAAAAGCACCAUUCAGGGCCCAGUAAGAUGGCUCAGUGAGUAAAGGUGUUUGUAGCACAGUCCUGGGGAGCUGGGUUUAAUUUCCAGAACCUGUAUGAAUGUUGAAAGACAGAACAGAAUCCACAAGGUUGUUCUCUGACGUCUACAUGUACCCUGUAGCUCAAAUACCAACUCCUCCCUCUCCCUCCCCCUCUCCCUCCCCCACUCCUCUCUCAUACACACACACACACACACACACACACACACACACACACAGGCAUGCAUGCACAUAUGCACACAUUUAUACAUGUAGACUAAAAACUUUAAAAAAAUAGUACAGUUCAUGUGCCUUUCUUAUUAUUUUGCUAUUUAUUGAGGCUUCAUUCACUGCCGGAUUGGGAGGGACCCAAGAUCUCAGCUAUGUUAGGCAAGUGCAAUUUGCUCCUAGUUAUAUCCCUGUCCUUUAUUAUGUAUUUUAAUUUACAAGUCUCUCUCUGAAUUCUCUGUAACACCUAGAUUCACAGUCUGAGACUUGCUUCCAUAAUGUCCAUGUGGUUUCCUCCUCAUUUCUCUCUUAGGUAAAAUAUUGAGUUAAAUUCAAUCCAUAGUUAUACAAUCAAGCUGAAGCCCAUCACAUUGAGAGAAUGUGGUCAGACAGAUGUGAGGCAGCUCUCUGUCCCGCAUGCCCACAUUUAAUGCUACGGUGAAUGUGGAGAGAGGCAUUACCAGAAGCAUUUGUAAUUCUCAACAAAUGCCCCCUAGGAACACGUAUGGAUUCACUAACUAGCUUUCCAAGCACACACAAUAAGUGCUCAAAUUUUUAUCUCCAGUUAUAAAUUAACUCGGGGAAUUUGGAAAUAUCCCACAGUAUCCGAGAGUUGCAGAGAUCUACAAAUUUCAAUCUGUCAAUAUUCACAGAUAAUUCUGAGACGUUUAAAAUGCACAGAUGGGGGAAUUUGGGACAUCUGGCUUACCUCUGUCUAACUCAUCUUUGGCACGUGCCUCCUGUUUGCUGGGGGAAGCCACGGCGUUUUCACGUGGGGAGUGUGUCUCCCUGCUUGAGUCAAACUCAUUUAACUCAAUCAAUGGAGUUAUUGUUCUGGGGCUGAAAUUCCUCCACCUCAUACCCCACUCUGGUUUCUCAUACCAUACAAGCGUGAUAUUAGUUCCCAGCUUCAAGCGGAAGAAUCCUCCCAGCACUAUAAAGAAAUGGAAGUGAUAAGAGGAAGUCUCCACAGUUCUCCCCUGACAUCCCAUCUCAUUCCACCCAUCAUGCCUAAGCAGAAUAAACACCACAGGCUGCGUACAGGUCCGUAAUGAACACGGUACACAUUGUGUGCCUCCACCCCAGGCAUUCUCAUUCAGCACCAGUGGUAUGUUGAUUCCUGGAGUCCUUGUGUUAUGGUUCAACUAAAGUAGAAAUGCUGGGGGAAAUUAACACAUUUAGGGCACCAUCUCCAUAUAUAGACAAGAAUCAUAGGUUCUGUUCAUCUUCCCCUUUUCAACUUAACCAGAAAACGAAUUCAUAGUUUAGUGCAGGGGUCAUUAGUGUGAAAGUGUAAAACAUUCAAACUCUAAGCCAUGGCUUAGAAGAGGGUUCCGUGGCAUGUACAGGUAUCUGUUAUUGCUUUUCUUCCUGAAGGUAGAGGCGUGUCAAAUACUGGAGCAAGUUGACACAGACUCAGGAGUCAGGGCACUUAAUCUUCGUUGACAUUAGGUCAACCUGUAACAUGGCCGCCUCAGCAAAGAAAUGGAAUCUGCAAUAGAAAAAAAAAUCUACAAAUGUUAGGUCUUCAAAUCCUACCACCCUGACCAUUAAACACGAAAGCUAUUUCUGACCGCUGUGCUCUGUUUAUUAUCUUGGUGAUGAAGUCAGAGAGACCAAUGACACAAGAAUAUAACCCCAGAGAAGGAAGAAAUAAGGAGGGGAGAAUGAUAAUGUCUUUGUCUUCUCUCAAACAUCUAUUUGAGAUCACGUAGGAAUGGCACUUUAACUCUUCUAAGUAGGCGUUCUGAACCAUGGCCAUUAUGUAAAAAAGAGUCAUGUAAUUUUGCCAAGGAAGCAAAAUCUACUGAAGACUUUACCUGGAAGCAGGAGGUACUGUGACCAUCACCACUACCACCCCCCCUCAUUAUCCUCCCUGUCACUACCAUCAACAGCAUCAGCGAUACCAGCCUCACAUUCACCCCAAUCUUCACCAUCAUGGUGACCAUCACCAUCAUCCUAGUCAUCACCACAAUCACUAUCAGUAUGUAUGAUCACUAUGACAACAUUACUACUUCAUCACUAUCACUACCAUUAAUAGCAUCAAUAACAUCACCAUGAAAAUCAACAUCACCCAAAUUAUCAUUGUCAUCGUCGUCGUCGUCAUCAUCAUCAUCAUCAUAAUGUAAACACCUCAGGCUCUUAUGUUUGCACAGUAAGAAUUUUACUGGUCAAGCCAAUUCUCAGACCCUUGUAGUGUGUACUUACAAAGAGGUAUGUGCUGGACAUUGAGAGAGGAAACACUUCUUUCCCUAAAGACAAUAAACUUGUUUUUAAAGAUUUAUUCAUUUAUUAUAUAUAAGUACACUGUAGCUGUCUUCAGACACACCAGAAGAGGGCAUCGGAUCUCUUUACAGAUGGUUGUGAGCCACCAUGUGGUUGCUGGGAAUUGAACUCAGGACCUCUGGAAGAGCAUUCGGUGCUCUUAACCGCUGAGCCAUCUCCCCAGCCCUAAAGACAGUAAACUUAUCAUGAAGUCCUGCCUUUAAUAGUUGUGUAAUUAUUUCCCAGAAUGCCAUCUCCGAAUCCACUCAGGGAGCAUGUCUGAAUAUAGCAAGGUGUGAAGGGCAGGAUUCAGUCAGUAGCUACUCCGAAGACUGGUAUGUGGCUGUUGAUUGGACUCCCUGCUUCAACAAUAAAUAAAUGGCAGCUCUCAACUUGCUCCACUUCCUGUAGGAUAAGUGGAUCCUCAUCAGGUCCUGAUUUGCUAGAUUAGCGCCACCGGGUCUUCUUGUAAACUCUUCCCAUAAAUCCCUUCCAAUAAGAGGAAAUUGGUAACUUUUCGAAGACGGUGUGAACUGAAAGUCACUGUCCUUAGAGGCUAUGCGAGGGGAGGGGCAGACGCUCUGGCUUCACAGGCUUAAUUCACAAGCCCACGGAAGUCAGUAAGAUUUCCCAGGAGCCCCAGUUCCCAGUGCCUCCUAAUGAAGAUAUGGCUCAGUCUCCACCCAAGCCUACUUCCGGAGCUGUCUCCAGUGUUCUAGUUACAGUAUUAAACCCUUUAAACUUUUCUCCAAAACGUUCUAGUUUUUGAUGACUUCACACAUCAGUUUGUUUGGAUGAAAUCUACUGUCCCUCUCCCUCCUUUUGACUCUUUCCACUACCCCACGCCUCUUCUCCAGCUCAGCUCUACGAGCCUUUUGUGUGUGUGUGUGUGUGUGUGUGUGUGUGUGACAAAACCUGGGCUUGCUGUGUAAUCAAGAAUGCCCUUUAACUUUGCUCUUCUUGCCUCCACCUCCUAAGUGUUGUGACUGAAGUGUGCUUCAUCACACCCAGCUUUUAAAUCCUUUAAAUAUCCACUGCCUGUCACAAUUAUAAACUUUCUUUUGGCUUUGGUUGUAUAGCACAUUUCUUCAGUUCAUUCUUGUUCUUAUUCAAAUAAUCCAGCCCGCACAAGGCUACUCUGACUGUCUUUUUGGAAUUUAAAUAUUAGCAGGGAUUAGUGCCAAUUAACAAGAGGACUGCAGGAUCAAUAGAUUAAACACUGAGAAUACCCAUGUCUUAAGUAGUCAUCAACAGAGAUUUGAUUGCAAAAGUGUUCAGAUGCGAGACACAGACAAUUUAUCCAAUAGGCCUUUAAAAGAAAGAAUGUGGUUUUGCUUAAUUAACGUCUGGGAAUGAAACUCAAUAAGUGAAAUGGUUACUUAGUAAGCAUGAGGUCCUGUGUUUUAUCACCAGGGCCACAGAAACUGGGUAUGGUGGUGCAAGCCUCUAAUUUCAUUACUUGGUAAGUGGAGGCAGGGGGAUGAGAAGACCACGGUCAUCCCUUCCUUGGCUUUGAGUUUGAAGUCAGCCUGGAAAUACAAGACUUUGCCUACAAAGAAAGGAAGGAGGAGGGGGCAUCUGGGACUACACUGACUUGGUUCAGGUAUCAACAGCGUGGACAGCUGCCACCUUUCUGUUCUGUUUCAAAAUAACCUCUAAGAAAGGAAGCCGGGGCUAAAUAAGGGCUUUCUUGUAUGGAAAAUACCAAAGGGAAGAUCUCUCAGAAUCACCCAAAGGAUCCCACGUGUAUUAGUUAGUUUCCUGCUGAUGUGAUGAAAUAAAUACCAUGACCAAAAGAAACGUAGAGAAGAAAAGAUUCAAUUUUUUCUUGCGUGUCAGGAGUAGAGCCCAAUGAAGCAGGUUGCCCAUGGCGACCCUCUGGGGAAAGUACAGAGGCAGGAAUGGAAGGCUGGCUGAUUACCUUUUAAUUUGUACACAGGAAGCAGAGAAUGAGCAGGAACUAGGGCGAGGCUAUAACCUCUCAAAGCCCACCCCCACCAGUGACGGACUUUCCCCAUCAAAAGGUUCCACAACUUCCUGAAUAGCGCCAUCUACUGCAGACCAAGUGUUCCAACGCCCGAGCCAGGGGGCGAUGAUUCUCAUUAAAACACCACCUUACCCAACAAGUUUGACACGGGCUGAAUCACAUGUUCUAACACUAGACUCGCAAGCAAAGGGGGAUUUUCUCAUUUGGCCUGACAGUGAAGGAAGGCCUGUGUUAUCCAUUACUGUAGCCUUCCAAUCUGACCCAUCAUAACCAAGGGGUUGAUGACUGAAGAGCACAAAACUAUCUAUAGGUGGCAAGAACGCUGAGCGUGAUGGUCACUAAAUCACAUGGUAACAAUGUUAUUACCGUUCGUCCACUUCCCUUUUGUUUGUUUGUUUGUUUGUUUGGUUGGUUGGUUGUUGUCGGUUAUUUUUUUAUUAUUUUUCUUGCUACAUCAGAAAUUGUCUGAUUGAUACAUUUGUAUCUACAAGCCUCUUGAUACGCUGGGACCUCCCUUUGAGAGAGUCUAACAGAGGUCAGGCUCAAAGCUGAAGCAGGCAGCCACAGCUAGGUAAUACUAUUUUGUGCUUACAUAUCAUAAUUAUUUCCACAAUAAUCUCAUUUUGGCAAGGCGUGGUAGCAUCUCGGACAUAGCAUUACCGUAGUUUCAAAUCUUUUUCAAAUAAAAAUUAGUAAA